UUAUAAAGGAUAACCUUCUAACCUAUCAAUCAGGCUUUUUAAGAGGCGUCGUGAAAAGUGUUAAUCCGAGAUUGUCAGUUUGAUACCUGGUGGCCACCAGGUAGCAAAUUUUUCUCACCAAGUUUGAGCUUUUAGUAUAGGAAGAAUGCUCGCAUUUCAUAGCAUAUUAAUCUAUAGUUAAUCCGCGAAGCGCGUGAAUACGGGCGGAAAUCUCUAACUAAUCGCGCCAACCUUAAUCCGCCUAAUCCGUCCUAAUCCGCGCGAUGUUUCCAUAUGCGACGGAUUAAGCCUUAAUCCGCGACUUUUAAUCCAAGUGGAAACACCCCCUUAUUAGCAUUAAUACAUUUCUUCAUUUCUAAGAUCUAAUAAUCGUUUUAUCCAACUUAUGCACAAAUCUACUUCAAAAUUUGCAAAUUCAUGUAAAUGCCAAGGGGCCCAUCAUCAAACCUACAUCCACUUGACACGUUUAAACCACACAACCACCAAACACCCCCACCGAACAAACCAUCAGGAUCCUCCCCUUCGCCAUGCAUGUGCCAUCAGGAUAAUACUAACAAAAGUGAUAGUGGGCCGAGGAAAGGAACUCUUGCCAGUUUAAAUGGAGGGGACUAAUGGCACAACUCGACUGUAAUCACCAAUUCAGAUGCUUAAUUCUCCAUACUGACAUUCUUCUUUGACUUCGUCAAUUGCUUGUACUUUUCUGUAGCAACAACUAGCAAUGUGUGGGCAACUUGCACUAUCAGACCAAUGCAAUAGAACAAACCGCUUUUAUACUUGAAAAGCCACACAGCCCACAUGCUUGCAAAUGCCAGCAGAUGAAACUUUUUGCCUAAAACUUUCCAGGAACAGGGGGCAGGAGAGGGGGUAAGGUGCGGGGAAGUGGGGCGGCAGCCCCACGACCCCGCACAUUACCCCCAAGACCACCUGGCCACCGACAGGCAAUCAUGAUAGGGAUGAGCGGGAGCCAAAGGAAACAUUUCAAAGCAGUAUGGCCUCUAGUGCGCCCCUUAUUCCCCAGCCACAUUGCCACUAUGAUAGCCGCGCCUCUUUUCCGACCAUGUGUGGGGGCAGCAGUGUAGACGGCGCCUACACUUUCCCUGUAUCUCCAAAGCGUAACACAGGAGCAACACGAUAGUUCUAGUACGUGAUUUGUUCAAGUGCUUGGAUUC
rnacentral:lncRNA from 1 species